GAAGGGGAGGCGCACAGGGCCUCAAAGGAGGCAGUGCUGCACGGAGGGGAGAAUGCUGAAGCCUUGAGGUAUUCCCUCUGGCUCUGUCUCUCUCAGCAGGCCACUUACUACAGCUAUGUGAACUAUGCACAGCCUAACUAACAGGCACCAGUAGCUGGAAUGCAGGCUUCCUCAUGUUAUUCUACCAAUAUGCUUUGAUUUCAUCUAAAGGAUCAACUCUAAAGCUGCAAAUUUUUCAAGCCUCUCUCCUCCGUCCCGAAGGCUAUCUCAGAUAAGGCGGCGAAAAAAACGCACGCAAGAUGAAAUGUUCUUGGAAAUCAUGCAAUCGACCCGCGAUGAAAGAGCUCAUCUGAAUGAGUGGAAGGUAUCAAAGUACAGGAAAGAUGCCAGUGAACGUGAGGACAGGAUGGACCAACGUGAGGACAGGAGG